UACGUAGGCAGCGAGCGUUGUUCGGAAUUACUGGGCGUAAAGAGUGUGUAGGCGGUGCUCUAAGUUCGGUGUGAAAUCUCCCGGCUUAACUGGGAGGGUGCGCCGGAAACUGGAGUGCUCGAGCGUGGGAGAGGAAAGCGGAAUUCCUGGUGUAGCGGUGAAAUGCGUAGAUAUCAGGAGGAACACCGGCGGUGUAGACGGCUUUCUGGACCGUAGCUGACGCUGAGACACGAAAGCGUGGGUAGCAAACAGG
rnacentral:rRNA from 1 species